AACCAUAAAAGACGAGGACCACAAGACGAUGCAUGCAAUGCAUGCACCACUAGCUAAGAUAACAUGCUUUGUCCAACAACUUGUUGCUCAAAGAACAAAACUUAUUAUAAAUAGGUCUACAGAGUGAAGAGAAUGAAUAAGAUUGAAAAGAUGGUGAAAAUAUCAGCUUUGCUCAUUGUUUUCUCAUGCCUCUUACUGAUGGCAUUCACAGUUCUUUCUGCUAAUGCAGAAAACUUGAAUGCUCGUACUCCAAUAAUCCCAAUUUCGAAGAACUUGGUUUAUUAUCCUCAAGGUUGUCGCUGUUGCACGUUCAUAUUUAAGCCGAGGGUUCAGUGUGGCACAGUUUGUUGUGAAGAAGGCUGUUGUGGUUAACCUACGCGUCGCAAAGGUUGAAGCAAAGCACUUACAAGUUCUAUAUAUGGUUUCCUUUCACAGGGACACAUAAAAUACUAUGCUGCUAAAUAAUUAUGCAGGAAGUCAGAUAAAUAGAUUUUCUGCAUAAAAGUUCGUUUUUGUUCUUGAUAAUUUUAAUAUAAGUCAAACUUUUGUGGUGCUAUGUUAAUUCCAAAAGAUUUCAAUUAUAAAAUCACUACUUUUGCUUUCAA